UGCGAUGAGUCGAGAAGAUCAUGUUCUGAUCUUUGUAAACGGUCCUCAUAUAACAGCCGCAUUGCUGGAGGAUGAGAUAGUGAGUUGUGGAACUC
rfam:Weissella cibaria strain MG1 contig000019, whole genome shotgun sequence.